GGGCCGAUUAUGAGACAGACAAAUAGCAUAAUAAACUAGGAGAGUAAUAAGGAUAAACAAAACGAGAAAUAGAAGAUGGAAAAUGACAAAAGACAAUGAUACCUGAUCAGUGGCACAGUGAUCCAGGACACUCUGUGGCUUGGAUACCUGGCAAUUAGACGGGAAUAUAGCAAAAUAUAAUGAACGUAUGGCAAUUAGAUAGACACACACCCCAUCACACCCGCGCACAACAGAGACGCCCAUUUUCAACAGAACAUCGACACCUAACACGUAAUAGCUAAGGACAAGGAUUCAGGCACCACAGAGGAGGUGCAGAGAAACCUAAGCAUAACUCGGGCUCUGCCAUAGGUAAAAGUCAUGGGGGGAAACUAGACCCCGAGCAAUUAAUAUAAGCUACAUAAUAUGUGUAAGCUUCCACUUAAGAUUGAAAUCUGGAGUUUCACAAAAACUAAGGUGAUAAAUUCAAUGUUAUAGCAGAAGUGAGCAUAUAUUUACCCUAAAGUAGGGAGAGGUUAACUAGAUCUACUCCCCAGAAAGUCGACUCAGACCUGCGAGUCCCAUUAUAACAUGAGCCGGCAAGCCAAUGGGUCUUCAAAACUUAUAUUUCUCUCAUGGAUCCCGAGUGUUCCCUGUUUAUGUUAUGCAAAUUUUAUAUAAAUGAUUAGACCUGCGAGUCUUACUGUUUAACUUACGAUGAAC